ensembl:lncRNA
AGGUCAUCAUGUGUGGGAGGUCUGCUGUGCUCUGCUGUUCUUCCACAGCGUCCUGCAGCAUCACACAUGGACAGUUUAUAUACGGGGAACAACAGGCCUACUUUCCUGCCAUCCAGCCAAGAGGGGACAUGAUCCUGAUCGUACGCCUCUACCAUCUCCCCGCCGAUGGUGCUGCGCUCUUCAGACGCCUACUGUGGCAGAGAGAGGUCCCGCCCUGGGAGACGGGGGGGGUUCUAGCGGGGAACCUCCCGACCCGUGAGGAAUGUGUUGUAGCCUGGGGGGCCAUCAGGCUCACUAGGCCUGGGUCUCCAUGGGUCCAGAGGAGAGGAGAGGAGAAGCCUCUGGAACACAGGCACUCAUCUGGUCCCACUCUAUUGCACUCCAGUCCCUGCCGUGGUCUCUCUCAAUCCACUGCCAGAUGACUGCCUGAUGAAGCCUUUCAAGGCUUACGGUGGUGCUGCUGGGGUUCGACUGCACAUCUACAGUGGACAGGCCUCUCCAUUCCCUCUCCCUCCUGAGUCUCCAGUCCCUCACGCUCACGCUCACGCUCACGCUCAC